AUUGAAGAUAAAAACACAGUUUUGGUUGGUAGUCCAAACGUAUCAUAUAUGAUAUCAGUAACCUGCCCCCCCUGGGGUUGUCCAUUCUUCAUAAUAAUA
rnacentral:ncRNA from 1 species